rnacentral:lncRNA from 1 species
UAUGGGAAUACCCGGUCAAUAAUACCUAACUACAUUAUUUUAUCUGCAUUAAAUAUUAAAUUAUGUGGACCCAAUGUACAUGGAUUAUAUGAUUUGGGUAUAUAUUAAAUCCCUAAAUCUUCAUAUUGUAGUAACAUUUCUACAUUAAAAUCACAUAAGGAAACAAAAAGGGAAUUAAAUUGACCAACUGAACCAAAUGCUAAAUAUUAGAAGCUUGUCCCAAACUCAGUUGCACAAACAAUGUCCAAUUCCCUUUACGUGAUCAGCAGAGCAAUGAACAGUAGCUAUGAAUAGGUGAUGAUUGGCUAGGAAAAUGGGUAGGAAUGGUGGUUGAGCAACCCUUUGUUAACCAUUGUUUUCUUCUUCUACAUUAUGGAUUCAACCUUAGUGUAAAUCCAUUAGCCAGUCAGUCAUUCUUCUAUAAAUAGCAGCUUUAAUUUCAUUUUUCACGUUGCUAAGAGUAUCUGUUAGAAUUUCAAGAAUUAGAGUCCGAGUUGCUGGUUGUUUAAG